AGCAACGGCUACAUGUUACAGAAAACAGAGGAUCCCGUCCGCUCUCCUGUACUUAAGCUGUAAAUCGGCAGAUUAGUAUUAACGUGGGAAUAUGAGAAUCCCUGCUGCUGCUGUUU
rnacentral:rRNA from 1 species